rnacentral:piRNA from 1 species
UCUGUUGUCAAUGGUAACUUG